rnacentral:rRNA from 1 species
UACGUAGGGUGCAAGCGUUGUCCGGAAUUACUGGGCGUAAAGGGCUCGUAGGCGGCCAACUAAGUCCGACGUGAAAUCCCAAGGCUUAACCUUGGAACUGCGUCGGAUACUGGAUGGCUUGAAUUCGGGAGAGGGAUGCAGAAUUCCAGGUGUAGCGGUGAAAUGCGUAGAUAUCUGGAGGAAUACCGGUGGCGAAGGCGGCAUCCUGGACCGACAUUGACGCUGAUGAGCGAAAGCUAGGGGAGCAAACGGG